CUACGGGGGGCUGCAGUGGGGAAUAUUGCACAAUGGGCGCAAGCCUGAUGCAGCCAUGCCGCGUGUAUGAAGAAGGCCUUCGGGUUGUAAAGUACUUUCAGCGGGGAGGAAGGGAGUAAAGUUAAUACCUUUGCUCAUUGACGUUACCCGCAGAAGAAGCACCGGCUAACUCCGUGCCAGCAGCCGCGUGUAUACGGAGGGUGCAAGCGUUAAUCGGAAUUACUGGGCGUAAAGCGCACGCAGGCGGUUUGUUAAGUCAGAUGUGAAAUCCCCGGGCUCAACCUGGGAACUGCAUCUGAUACUGGCAAGCUUGAGUCUCGUAGAGGGGGGUAGAAUUCCAGGUGUAGCGGUGAAAUGCGUAGAGAUCUGGAGGAAUACCGGUGGCGAAGGCGGCCCCCUGGACGAAGACUGACGCUCAGGUGCGAAAGCGUGGGGAGCAAACAGGAUUAGAUACCCCAGUAGUC
rnacentral:rRNA from 1 species